CGGACGGGUGAGUAACGCGUGGAAAACCUGCCGUAUACUGGGGGAUAACACUUAGAAAUAGGUGCUAAUACCGCAUAAGCGCACAGCUUCGCAUGAAGUGGUGUGAAAAACUCUGGUGGUAUACGAUGGUUCCGCGUCUGAUUAGCUUGUUGGUGGGGUAAUGGCUCACCAAGGCAACGAUCAGUAGCCGGCCUGAGAGGGUGAACGGCCACAUUGGGACUGAGACACGGCCCAAACUCCUACGGAAGGCAGCAG
rnacentral:rRNA from 1 species